CUUCGGACUGCCACAGCUAACUGCCUCUCUGUACUCUCCAUUGUGAAGUUGGAAGUGCCCCUACAGCAACUACAUGCUGAUCAGACACAUAUGGAUGCAGUCCACAGAAAGUGGGAUUUUAAAAGUGGGUUGAUUUACUCCAGGUGUCUGAGAAACUUCACCCCACUCAAGUAAGGAACAAACAAGGAGAACAAGAUUUUUAUCCCCCC